rnacentral:rRNA from 1 species
GGUUAAGCGACUAAGCGUACACGGUGGAUGCCCUGGCAGUCAGAGGCGAUGAAGGACGUGCUAAUCUGCGAAAAGCGUCGGUAAGGUGAUAUGAACCGUUAUAACCGGCGAUGUCCGAAUGGGGAAACCCAGUGUGAUUCGUCACACUAUCGUUAACUGAAUACAUAGGUUAACGAGGCGAACCGGGGGAACUGAAACAUCUAAGUACCCCGAGGAAAAGAAAUCAACCGAGAUUCCCCCAGUAGCGGCGAGCGAACGGGGAGCAGCCCAGAGUCUGAAUCAGCUUGUGUGUUAGUGGAACGGUCUGGAAAGUCCGACGGUACAGGGUGAUAGUCCCGUACACCAAAAUGCACAGGUUGUGAACUCGAAGAGUAGGGCGGGACACGUGGUAUCCUGUCUGAAUAUGGGGGGACCAUCCUCCAAGGCUAAAUACUCCUGACUGACCGAUAGUGAACCAGUACCGUGAGGGAAAGGCGAAAAGAACCCCGGCGAGGGGAGUGAAAAAGAACCUGAAACCGUGUACGUACAAGCAGUGGGAGCACCUUCGGGUGUGACUGCGUACCUUUUGUAUAAUGGGUCAGCGACUUAUAUUCUGUAGCAAGGUUAACCGUAUAGGGGAGCCGCAGGGAAACCGAGUCUUAACUGGGCGUUAAGUUGCAGGGUAUAGACCCGAAACCCGGUGAUCUAGCCAUGGGCAGGUUGAAGGUUGGGUAACACUAACUGGAGGACCGAACCGACUAAUGUUGAAAAAUUAGCGGAUGACUUGUGGCUGGGGGUGAAAGGCCAAUCAAACCGGGAGAUAGCUGGUUCUCCCCGAAAGCUAUUUAGGUAGCGCCUCGUGAACUCAUCUUCGGGGGUAGAGCACUGUUUCGGCUAGGGGGUCAUCCCGACUUACCAACCCGAUGCAAACUACGAAUACCGAAGAAUGUUAUCACGGGAGACACACGGCGGGUGCUAACGUCCGUCGUGAAGAGGGAAACAACCCAGACCGCCAGCUAAGGUCCCAAAGUCAUGGUUAAGUGGGAAACGAUGUGGGAAGGCACAGACAGCCAGGAUGUUGGCUUAGAAGCAGCCAUCAUUUAAAGAAAGCGUAAUAGCUCACUGGUCGAGUCGGCCUGCGCGGAAGAUGUAACGGGGCUAAACCAUGCACCGAAGCUGCGGCAGCGACACUAUGUGUUGUUGGGUAGGGGAGCGUUCUGUAAGCCUGCGAAGGUGUGCUGUGAGGCAUGCUGGAGGUAUCAGAAGUGCGAAUGCUGACAUAAGUAACGAUAAAGCGGGUGAAAAGCCCGCUCGCCGGAAGACCAAGGGUUCCUGUCCAACGUUAAUCGGGGCAGGGUGAGUCGACCCCUAAGGCGAGGCCGAAAGGCGUAGUCGAUGGGAAACAGGUUAAUAUUCCUGUACUUGGUGUUACUGCGAAGGGGGGACGGAGAAGGCUAUGUUAGCCGGGCGACGGUUGUCCCGGUUUAAGCAUGUAGGCUGGUUAUCCAGGCAAAUCCGGAUAAUCAAGGCUGAGGUGUGAUGACGAGGCACUACGGUGCUGAAGUAACAAAUGCCCUGCUUCCAGGAAAAGCCUCUAAGCAUCAGGUAACAUCAAAUCGUACCCCAAACCGACACAGGUGGUCAGGUAGAGAAUACCAAGGCGCUUGAGAGAACUCGGGUGAAGGAACUAGGCAAAAUGGUGCCGUAACUUCGGGAGAAGGCACGCUGGUGUGUAGGUGAAGUCCCUGCGGAUGGAGCUGAGACCAGUCGAAGAUACCAGCUGGCUGCAACUGUUUAUUAAAAACACAGCACUGUGCAAACACGAAAGUGGACGUAUACGGUGUGACGCCUGCCCGGUGCCGGAAGGUUAAUUGAUGGGGUUAUCCGUAAGGAGAAGCUCUUGAUCGAAGCCCCGGUAAACGGCGGCCGUAACUAUAACGGUCCUAAGGUAGCGAAAUUCCUUGUCGGGUAAGUUCCGACCUGCACGAAUGGCGUAAUGAUGGCCAGGCUGUCUCCACCCGAGACUCAGUGAAAUUGAACUCGCUGUGAAGAUGCAGUGUACCCGCGGCAAGACGGAAAGACCCCGUGAACCUUUACUAUAGCUUGACACUGAACAUUGAGCCUUGAUGUGUAGGAUAGGUGGGAGGCUUUGAAGCGUGGACGCCAGUCUGCGUGGAGCCAACCUUGAAAUACCACCCUUUAAUGUUUGAUGUUCUAACGUUGGCCCCUUACCGGGGUUGCGGACAGUGUCUGGUGGGUAGUUUGACUGGGGCGGUCUCCUCCCAAAGCGUAACGGAGGAGCACGAAGGUUAGCUAAUCCUGGUCGGACAUCAGGAGGUUAGUGCAAUGGCAUAAGCUAGCUUGACUGCGAGCGUGACGGCGCGAGCAGGUGCGAAAGCAGGUCAUAGUGAUCCGGUGGUUCUGAAUGGAAGGGCCAUCGCUCAACGGAUAAAAGGUACUCCGGGGAUAACAGGCUGAUACCGCCCAAGAGUUCAUAUCGACGGCGGUGUUUGGCACCUCGAUGUCGGCUCAUCACAUCCUGGGGCUGAAGUAGGUCCCAAGGGUAUGGCUGUUCGCCAUUUAAAGUGGUACGCGAGCUGGGUUUAGAACGUCGUGAGACAGUUCGGUCCCUAUCUGCCGUGGGCGCUGGAGAAUUGAGGGGGGCUGCUCCUAGUACGAGAGGACCGGAGUGGACGCAUCACUGGUGUUCGGGUUGUCAUGCCAAUGGCACUGCCCGGUAGCUAAAUGCGGAAGAGAUAAGUGCUGAAAGCAUCUAAGCACGAAACUUGCCCCGAGAUGAGUUCUCCCUGAGACUUUAAGUCUCCUGAAGGAACGUUAAAGACGAUGACGUUGAUAGGCCGGGUGUGUAAGCGCAGCGAUGCGUUGAGCUAACCGGUACUAAUGAACCGUGAGGCUUAACCUU